rnacentral:rRNA from 1 species
GACAGAGGGUGCAAACGUUGUUCGGAAUUACUGGGCGUAAAGCGCGUGUAGGCGGCCCUGCAAGUCGGAUGUGAAAUCCCACGGCUCAACCGUGGAAGUGCAUUCGAAACUGCAGGGCUAGAGUCCUGGAGAGGAAGGUGGAAUGCUUGGUGUAGAGGUGAAAUUCGUAGAUAUCAAGCGGAACACUGGUGGCGAAGGCGGCCUUCUGGACAGAUAUUGACGCUGAGGUGCGAAAGCGUGGGGAGCAAACAGG